UAAUGGAAGUAAAAGUCGUAACAAGGUUUCCGUAGGUGAACCUGCGGAAGGAUCAUUACAGUAUUCUUUUGCCAGCGCUUAACUGCGCGGCGAAAAACCUUACACACAGUGUCUUUUUGAUACAGAACUCUUGCUUUGGUUUGGCCUAGAGAUAGGUUGGGCCAGAGGUUUAACAAAACACAAUUUAAUUAUUUUUACAGUUAGUCAAAUUUUGAAUUAAUCUUCAAAACUUUCAACAACGGAUCUCUUGGUUCUCGCAUCGAUGAAGAACGCAGCGAAAUGCGAUAAGUAAUAUGAAUUGCAGAUUUUCGUGAAUCAUCGAAUCUUUGAACGCACAUUGCGCCCUCUGGUAUUCCAGAGGGCAUGCCUGUUUGAGCGUCAUUUCUCUCUCAAACCCCCGGGUUUGGUAUUGAGUGAUACUCUUAGUCGGACUAGGCGUUUGCUUGAAAAGUAUUGGCAUGGGUAGUACUAGAUAGUGCUGUCGACCUCUCAAUGUAUUAGGUUUAUCCAACUCGUUGAAUGGUGUGGCGGGAUAUUUCUGGUAUUGUUGGCCCGGCCUUACAACAACCAAACAAGUUUGACCUCAAAUCAGGUAGGAAUACCCGCUGAACUUAAGCAUAUCAAUAAGCGGAGGAA
rnacentral:rRNA from 1 species